GAUGAACGCUGUCUACAGGCUUAACACAUGCAAGUCGAGGGGAAACGACGGGGAAGCUUGCUUCCCCGGGCGUCGACCGGCGCACGGGUGAGUAACGCGUAUCCAACCUGCCUCUGACUGAGGGAUAACCCGUCGAAAGUCGGCCUAAUACCUCAUGGCAUCGUCUGCGGGCAUCCAACGACGAUUAAAGAUUUCAUCGGUCAGGGAUGGGGAUGCGUCUGAUUAGCUUGUUGGCGGGGUAACGGCCCACCAAGGCUACGAUCAGUAGGGGUUCUGAGAGGAAGGUCCCCCACAGUGGAACUGAGACACGGUCCAAACUCCUACGGGAGGCAGCAGUGAGGAAUAUUGGUCAAUGGGCGGGAGCCUGAACCAGCCAAGUAGCGUGCAGGAUGACGGCCCUAUGGGUGGUAAACUGCUUUUAUGCGGGGAUAAAGUGAGGGACGUGUCCUUCAUUGCAGGUACCGCAUGAAUAAGGACCGGCUAAUUCCGUG
rnacentral:rRNA from 1 species